CCUCCUGUGGCCAGAAUCUCCUGGAGACGACAAACGGAGAGCGGAUGUUUAGAGGAGCUGCCCUCUGCUGACGGACAGCAGCUGGAGCUCAGAGAGUCUGGAUGUACUGCCUCCGUCUUACAGAUCUAUCAGACAAAGUUCAGCUAUGAAUACAGCUGCUACGUGCAGCAUGAGGGGGGAACAGUGGAGGCUCGGAUAGAUACAGCGGAUCCCUCUGUCCCGUCUCCAUACAAGGUGAAGCUGCUCUUGCUGCUCUACACAGUGCUGACAGUGAAGAGUCUGGUGUACUGCUGUGGACUCUUCCUGCUGACCGUCCUUAGGAACAAGAGUCCGUCCACAAACUGCACACAUGCUGGAUGACUAUGUUUUACUCUAUUUUCUAUCCCACCAUCAUCUCAUAAAUGUAUCUCCUUUAUCACUUAGAUGAAUUUAACAAUGUCAAUCAUGAAUAAAUAUAUGCAAUUAUGAUCAAACAACAUUUUGCAGCAGUGUAAAACAAAUCCUAUAUUAUAUACAGUAAAUGUUAUUGUUUUGUAUAAUACUUUAGCAAAUGAUGCGCAAUGU